rnacentral:rRNA from 1 species
UACGAAGGGGGCUAGCGUUGCUCGGAAUCACUGGGCGUAAAGCGCACGUAGGCGGCUUUUUAAGUCAGGGGUGAAAUCCUGGAGCUCAACUCCAGAACUGCCUUUGAUACUGAAGAUCUUGAGUUCGGGAGAGGUGAGUGGAACUGCGAGUGUAGAGGUGAAAUUCGUAGAUAUUCGCAAGAACACCAGUGGCGAAGGCGCUCACUGGCCCGAUACUGACGCUGAGGCACGAAAGCCAGGGGAGCAAACGGG